rnacentral:rRNA from 1 species
UGGGGAAUCUUGGACAAUGGGGGCAACCCUGAUCCAGCCAUGCCGCGUGAGUGAUGAAGGCCUUAGGGUCGUAAAGCUCUUUCGCCUGUGAAGAUAAUGACGGUAGCAGGUAAAGAAACCCCGGCUAACUCCGUGCCAGCAGCCGCGGUAAUACGGAGGGGGUUAGCGUUGUUCGGAAUUACUGGGCGUAAAGCGCACGUAGGCGGACCAGAAAGUUGGGGGUGAAAUCCCGGGGGCUCAACCCCGGAACUGCCUCCAAAACUAUUGGUCUAGAGUUCGAGAGAGGUGAGUGGAAUUCCAAGUGUAGAGGUGAAAUUCGUAGAUAUUUGGAGGAACACCAGUGGCGAAGGCGGCUCACUGGCUCGAUACUGACGCUGAGGUGCGAAAAGUGUGGGGAGCAAACAGGAUUAGAUACCCUGGUAGUCCACACCGUAAAACGAUGAAUGCCAGUCGUCGGGUAGCAUGCUAUUCGGUGACACACCUAA